AGUGAACGCUGGCGGUAGGCCUAACACAUGCAAGUCGAACGGCAGCACAGUAAGAGCUUGCUCUUACGGGUGGCGAGUGGCGGACGGGUGAGGUAUACAUCGGAAUCUACUUUUUCGUGGGGGAUAACGUAGGGAAACUUACGCUAAUACCGCAUACGACCUACGGGUGAAGGCAGGGGAUCUUCGGACCUUGCGCGAUUGAAUGAGCCGAUGUCGGAUUAGCUAGUUGGCGGGGUAAAGGCCCACCAAGGCGACGAUCCGUAGCUGGUCUGAGAGGAUGAUCAGCCACACUGGAACUGAGACACGGUCCAGACUCCUACGGGAGGCAGCAGUGGGGAAUAUUGGACAAUGGGCGCAAGCCUGAUCCAGCCAUACCGCGUGGGCGAAGAAGGCCUUCGGGUUGUAAAGCCCUUUUGUUGGGAAAGAAAAGCAGCAGGUUAAUACCCCGCUGUUCUGACGGUACCCAAAGAAUAAGCACCGGCUAACUUCGUG
rnacentral:rRNA from 1 species